rnacentral:rRNA from 1 species
AUACGAAGGUCCCAAGCGUUAUUCGGAAUCACUGGGCGUAAAGAGUACGUAGGCGGUUUGGUAAGUCAGGUGUGAAAUCCCGGAGCUCAACUCCGGAACUGCAUCCGAUACUGCCAGACUUGAGUAAUGGAGAGGCAGGUGGAAUUCUCGGUGUAGCAGCGAAAUGCGUGGAUAUCGAGAGGAAGACCAAUGGCGAAGGCAGCCUGCUGGACAUUUACUGACGCUGAGGUACGAAGGCUAGGGGAGCGAAAGGGAUUAGAAACCCCAGUAGUCC